rnacentral:rRNA from 1 species
UGAGUAACCUGCCCUUAACUCUGGGAUAAGCCUGGGAAACUGGGUCUAAUACCGGAUAUGACUCCUCAUCGCGUGGUGGGGGGUGGACAGCUUUUUUGUGGUUUUGGAUGGACUCGCGGCCUAUCAGCUUGUUGGUGAGGUAAUGGCUCACCAAGGCGACGACGGGUAGCCGGCCUGAGAGGGUGACCGGCCACACUGGGACUGAGACACGGCCCAGACCUCCGUACGGGAGGCAG